rnacentral:rRNA from 1 species
AUGUGUUGUUGGGUAGGGGAGCGUUCUGUAAGCCUGUGAAGGUGUGCUGUGAGGCAUGCUGGAGGUAUCAGAAGUGCGAAUGCUGACAUAAGUAACGAUAAAGCGGGUGAAAAGCCCGCUCGCCGGAAGACCAAGGGUUCCUGUCCAACGUUAAUCGGGGCAGGGUGAGUCGACCCCUAAGGCGAGGCCGAAAGGCGUAGUCGAUGGGAAACAGGUUAAUAUUCCUGUACUUGGUGUUACUGCGAAGGGGGGACGGAGAAGGCUAUGUCGGCCGGGCGACGGUUGUCCCGGUUUAAGCGUGUAGGCUGACUUUCCAGGCAAAUCCGGAAAGUUAAGGCUGAGGCGUGAUGACGAGGCACCACGGUGCUGAAGUGACAAAUGCCCUGCUUCCAGGAAAAGCCUCUAAGCAUCAGGUAACAUCAAAUCGUACCCCAAACCGACACAGGUGGUCAGGUAGAGAAUACCAAGGCGCUUGAGAGAACUCGGGUGAAGGAACUAGGCAAAAUGGUGCCGUAACUUCGGGAGAAGGCACGCUGACAUGUAGGUGAAGCCCCUGCGGGUGGAGCUGAAGUCAGUCGAAGAUACCAGCUGGCUGCAACUGUUUAUUAAAAACACAGCACUGUGCAAACACGAAAGUGGACGUAUACGGUGUGACGCCUGCCCGGUGCCGGAAGGUUAAUUGAUGGGGUUAUCGCAAGAGAAGCUCCUGAUCGAAGCCCCGGUAAACGGCGGCCGUAACUAUAACGGUCCUAAGGUAGCGAAAUUCCUUGUCGGGUAAGUUCCGACCUGCACGAAUGGCGUAAUGAUGGCCAGGCUGUCUCCACCCGAGACUCAGUGAAAUUGAACUCGCUGUGAAGAUGCAGUGUACCCGCGGCAAGACGGAAAGACCCCGUGAACCUUUACUACAGCUUGACACUGAACAUUGAGCCUUGAUGUGUAGGAUAGGUGGGAGGCUUUGAAGCGUGGACGCCAGUCUGCGUGGAGCCGACCUUGAAAUACCACCCUUUAAUGUUUGAUGUUCUAACCUGGCGCCGUGAUCCGGCGUGGGGACAGUGUCUGGUGGGUAGUUUGACUGGGGCGGUCUCCUCCCAAAGUGUAACGGAGGAGCACGAAGGUCAGCUAAUCCUGGUCGGACAUCAGGAGGUUAGUGCAAUGGCAUAAGCUGGCUUGACUGCGAGAGUGACGGCUCGAGCAGGUGCGAAAGCAGGUCAUAGUGAUCCGGUGGUUCUGUAUGGAAGGGCCAUCGCUCAACGGAUAAAAGGUACUCCGGGGAUAACAGGCUGAUACCGCCCAAGAGUUCAUAUCGACGGCGGUGUUUGGCACCUCGAUGUCGGCUCAUCACAUCCUGGGGCUGAAGUAGGUCCCAAGGGUAUGGCUGUUCGCCAUUUAAAGUGGUACGCGAGCUGGGUUUAGAACGUCGUGAGACAGUUCGGUCCCUAUCUGCCGUGGGCGCUGGAGAAUUGAGGGGGGCUGCUCCCAGUACGAGAGGACCGGAGUGGACGCAUCACUGGUGUUCGGGUUGUCAUGCCAAUGGCACUGCCCGGUAGCUAAAUGCGGAAGAGAUAAGUGCUGAAAGCAUCUAAGCACGAAACUUGCCCCG